rnacentral:misc_RNA from 1 species
GAUGAAGAACGUAGCGAAAUGCGAUAAGUAAUGUGAAUUGCAGAAUUCAGUGAAUCAUCGAAUCUUUGAACGCACAUUGCGCCCGCCAGUAUUCUGGCGGGCAUGCCUGUUCGAGCGUCAUUUCAACCAUCAAGCCCCAGGCUUGUGUUGGGGACCUGCGGCUGCCGCAGGCCCUGAAAACCAGUGGCGGGCUCGCUGUCACACCGGGCGUAGUAGAUUUUAUCUCGCUCAGGGCGAGCUGCGGGUUCCGGCCGUUAAAAAGCCUUUUUUACCCAAGGUUGACCUCGGAUCAGGUAGGAAGACCCGCUGAACUUAAGCAUAUCAAUAAGCGGAGGA